AGAUUGAACGCUAGCGGGAUGCUUUACACAUGCAAGUCGAACGGCAGCGCGGACUUCGGUCUGGCGGCGAGUGGCGAACGGGUGAGUAAUAUAUCGGAACGUGCCCAGUAGCGGGGGAUAACUACGCGAAAGCGUGGCUAAUACCGCAUACGCCCUACGGGGGAAAGGGGGGGAUUCUUCGGAACCUCUCACUAUUGGAGCGGCCGAUAUCAGAUUAGCUAGUUGGUGAGGUAAAGGCUCACCAAGGCGACGAUCUGUAGCUGGUUGAGAGGACGACCAGCCACACUGGGACUGAGACACGGCCCAGACUCCUACGGGAGCAGCAGGUGGGAAUUUGGACAAGUGGGGGAAACCUGGAUCCGAGCCAUGCCGCGUGUGUAGAAGAAGGUCUUCGGAUUAGGUAAAGACUAACGUUUAAGGUAGGGAGGAAGGACUAAGUUUAACCUAA
rnacentral:rRNA from 1 species